rnacentral:rRNA from 1 species
UACGGGGGGGGCAAGCGUUGUUCGGAAUUACUGGGCGUAAAGGGCUCGUAGGCGGCCAACUAAGUCAGACGUGAAAUCCCUCGGCUUAACCGGGGAACUGCGUCUGAUACUGGAUGGCUUGAGUUUGGGAGAGGGAUGCGGAAUUCCAGGUGUAGCGGUGAAAUGCGUAGAUAUCUGGAGGAACACCGGUGGCGAAGGCGGGUCUCUGGGCCGAUAUCGACGCUGAGGAGCGAAAGCGUGGGGAGCGAACAGG